rnacentral:lncRNA from 1 species
GUUAAUCAUCAAAACUAGUGUUCCUUUGAAAAUUAUACAGAACACGGAAUCGUUUGCUGAAGCUGUUGAGUCUUUUCUGAGGAAUAUAUGGAUGGAAUCAAAAAUUGAUACAAGUGAAUAUCAUGUUAUCCCAGUGUAUUUAACUUUUAAUGGUAAGAUAAUUGUAUAUUUUCUUCUAAAAUAUUGUCUAGUGUGGUUGUUCACCUUUAUGUUAUACCACUUCUGAAACGUUUAUAAUUGCCCAAAUGAGCAUCCAGUGCUGUACAAUUGUCACCUGUAAUGUAUUUAUCAAAUUAUAUAUCUAGUUAUUAUCAACAAAUAUCGCCAAAACAACUUUUUAGGUACCAUUCUUUGAAUCUAUAAAUUAAUUCGAAUGAUGUAUAGUGUACCAAAACCAUAACGAAAACAAGUAAAACAUUGUUGAUAUAUAUCAAUUUUUGACAUUCAGUGAAUGUUUCAAUAUUUUUUGUUGUUUUAUUAUUUAUUUUCUAUAUUUGUGGCAGCGAGCGAUAAAACAUCAAUUAGCACAUCAAUACAGACAGAACAAAGCGAAUGUACAAAUUGCGUAAAGCUGAAAACAGAAAACAAUAUUUUGACAGAACUGGUGGAUGAUUGGUAUAAAACAAUUACUGAACUUUCUGGAGGUAUUAAUAAUAGUCAUACUUUGAUUUGAUAUCAUUCCUUUGAAACAAUUUAAUGUAUGUUUUACUCUAAAAAUGGAAAACAGUAAUUAUCAUAUAAUGUCUUUACAUAUAUUUGGAAUGUACGCACGAGCAAGAUUGAGAUUUGAACUCACGAACUAUUAGCCUGCUCAAAAUUGCCUACCACAAGUCAGUCUUGCAAUAAGACGAUUGGACAACAUUAUAAAGCGUUAGACGUAUGACCGCAAUGGUAGUAGUAGUGUAAGAUUGAAGUGAUAUGCUGUAGUUGGAUGUACAUGUGCACAUUGCCUGAGUGUCUAGAACGUUAACCCCGUACACAAAUAUCCAUUUCGAACUCAUAACGUCCUAAGUGCAUCCCAAAGCCUUUACAAUACGGGAAACAAAGAGAUUCAAGUGCUGAGGUUAGGAUAAUUCCUUCUCAAACGUAAUGAACUUCUCAAGAGUUUUUUUACCGUAAUGGAAUAUCCGUACCUUUUACCUCAAAUGAGACCUCAUGAUUACAUUUUUUAUCAGAUUUUCUAACAUGAACAAUAUAAAGGGUGCCACAUGAGGAGCAGGAUCUGCUUGCUUCGAUCACCUAUAGUGUUUGGUAAUGUACUUCUUUUUCUUAGUCUUAAGUUUUCUAUUUUGUGUUUUGUGGACUGAUGGUUUGAUUGUUUUAGCCAUUGUGGUGUCUUUUAUAAGACCUAUGAGCAUGAAUGUCUCUUUGAAAUGUCUCGCCUCUCCUUUUCAAACUUGUUUUGAUGUUUUGCUUAGUAUUUUGUUGUGACUGAAGAUUUACCGAGUAUGAUAUAUGCAGGCUAGGGUAUGAAUGAACAAAGUGUUAUUGUAGUUCAAGACUAAACAAUUGGUCAAUGCUUCAUAACUCCGACAAGAAUUGUUAAAUCAUAUUAAGCUAAAGAAAGGUAAUAGACCUAUAAUGGUUAACAAUCAAACACAUAAUGAAAAAUUACUUCUAAACAGCCAUAGUGGAGUUGUAUUCAUUUCAAGUAAUAUAUGAUAUGAUUCAUAGCAAAUGUUGAUGGAUGCCUGAAUUUGAAAUUUCAGAUGACACUACCUUUCAAAUAUAAAUGUGUAACACAUUGACGGAUGUACGGAAAAUUUUAUAUAACAUAUAUCCAAUAUCUGAAAAUCCAAAGUAUGUGAGUACAGAACUGAUCAACUAAUUUGUAAUGGCCAUGCUCCACCCUUUCUGCUUCGAUGCGAUAGAUCAUCAUAGGUCAAGGCCGUUUUGCUUUGUCGAGUUAAAAAAAAAACCAGACUGUUCAAUGAAUCAAAGUUCCAUGAUAGAAACACAUAAUUCCAAUAAAACAUUUUUUUUUUUAAUUCAUUUUAGGAGUUACUUCCAAGCAACACGUGAACAAGUGAGUUUUUCGUUAUCUAUGUUCUAUUAUUUGUUUCUAUGAAAAUCACAGUGUAAAAAAACCCAAAGCUUUGGGAUAUUUCUAGUUUGCUUGAUGUCCCAAUCGAUUUCAUUAUACCACAAAUACAGUUAGUUUAAUUUGGAACAAUAUAUAUGUUUUGAAACAUAGGAGAUGCUAAACAAUAUAAGCACGAUGGAAUACAACUUGUAUUUCUUAUCAGGAAUUUUUACUAAUAUGAGGAUGCCUACAACUAAUGUUGUUGUUCAUGCAUUUAACUAUCUAUAUAUUGCUAGGGUCAUGUUGAUUAACUUUUCUGCACAGAUCUACUGAUAGGUGUGUGGUCUUUCCGUAUUUGUCUGUAGUUAAUAUAUUGUUGUUUCGUAUUUCUUAAUGGUCAUUUUACUGUAUCUACUUUAUUUGACCUAUUUCAAUUUAAAAUUUAUAAUUUAAAGUUGUUUAUCAGUUAAAGAAAGAAGACCAAAAUAAAAAAAAAAAAAAACGAUAUGUGUGUAGGUCCACUGUUUUUGAAAAUAGGAAGAUAUCGUACUAUAUGCCACACUUUUAUCGUCUCAGUUUUAAAUUGUGUGAACAGUUGUUUUACGAUUACAGAAUAUCCUUUUUUUAAAUGCAUGAACUGUUCACGUACUUGUUAUUCCUUAAAGACUAAUAGAUACAAAUGUAUAAAUUCUGAAGAAAACAUGUAUUUGUACAGACGAAUAUGGUAAAGUCUUAAUUUUGUAAAUAUUUAUGAGGUUCAAAAAUAUUUAUUUCAACAUGACAAGUACACUUUAAAAAUUAACAAAUGCUUAUAACAUGUAUAAGUGACAAAAAGGUAUUACUUGUGGGGAUUUUGUGGAUCCAUUAUUUUAUUGAAAAAACAAAUAGUUUCUAUUUUUGUAUUUGAGAUAUUUCAUAUAAAAGGUAAUGCUUUUUAUAUUUCUGACCCCCCUCCCUUAAAAAAAAAACCACACAAUUAAUUCAUGCAUUUUGUUUGAUUUAUAUUUCAUUCGGGAGUUUGACGAGAUAUGUGACAUGGCUUCAAAUUUGAAACUAACACAAAUAUAUGACAAAGUCAAAUAAAUUUUGAGAUUAUCAGCUGACUAUAUUUUUCUUUUUUCAGUUGUAGUGUAUGUAAUGUUCCCAGUAAGUCAAUCGUCCAGUGUUGCUUCCGAUGUAACAAACCUAUGUGUAGCGAUUGUUCUUUACGACACAAAAACGAAGCAAUCCACGUCACAAACACUUUUAUGCUUGGUGAUCUGAGAAUAUCAG